GAAUUCAACUCCUACGGGAGGCAGCAGUGGGGAAUAUUGCACAAUGGGUGGAAGCCUGAUGCAGCGACGCCGCGUGAGGGAUGACGGCCUUCGGGUUGUAAACCUCUUUCAGCAGGGACGAAGCGUAAGUGACGGUACCUGCAGAAGAAGCACCGGCUAACUACGUGCCAGCAGCCGCGGUAAUACGUAGGGUGCGAGCGUUGUCCGGAAUUACUGGGCGUAAAGAGCUCGUAGGCGGUUUGUCACGUCGUCUGUGAAAUCCUAGGGCUUAACCCUGGACGUGCAGGCGAUACGGGCUGACUUGAGUACUACAGGGGAGACUGGAAUUUCUUGUGUAGCGGUGGAAUGCACAGAUAUCAGGAAGAACACCAAUGGCGAAGGCAGGUCUCUGGGUAGUAACUGACGCUGAGGAGCGAAAGCAUGGGUAGCGAACAGGAUUAGAUACCCGAGUAGUCCAGGCGUU
rnacentral:rRNA from 1 species